UACGGAGGGGGCUAGCGUUGUUCGGAAUUACUGGGCGUAAAGCGCACGUAGGCGGUUUUGUAAGUUAGAGGUGAAAGCCUGGGGCUCAACUCCAGAAUAGCCUUUAAGACUGCAUCACUUGAACACGGGAGAGGUGAGUGGAAUUCCGAGUGUAGAGGUGAAAUUCGUAGAUAUCAGGGGGAUAACCAGCAGGCGUAAGCGGCUUUCCAUAAUGAUUCUGACGCUGAAGUUCUUAAGCGUGGGUCGCAAACGGG
rnacentral:rRNA from 1 species